CAGUCGCCGCGGGAAUACGUAGGGUCCAAGCGUUAAUCGGAAUUACUGGGCGUAAAGCGUGCGCAGGCGGUUCGUUAAGACAGAUGUGAAAUCCCCGGGCUUAACCUGGGAACUGCAUUUGUGACUGGCGGGCUAGAGUAUGGCAGAGGGGGGUAGAAUUCCACGUGUAGCAGUGAAAUGCGUAGAGAUGUGGAGGAAUACCGAUGGCGAAGGCAGCCCCCUGGGCCAAUACUGACGCUCAUGCACGAAAGCGUGGGGAGCAAACAGGAUUAGAUACCCCUGUAGUCCCUGUCUCUUAUAC
rnacentral:rRNA from 1 species